AUGAACGCUAGCGACAGGCUUAACACAUGCAAGUCGAGGGGUAACAGGGUAGCAAUACCGCUGACGACCGGCGCACGGGUGAGCAACGCGUAUGCAACCUGCCUAGUAACUGGGGGAAUAGCUCCCUGAAAGGGGAAUUAACACCGCAUAACACUAUUGAUUCGCAUGAAUUAGUAGUUAAAUGUAGCGAUACAGGUUAUAGAUGGGCAUGCGUGACAUUAGCUAGUUGGUGAGGUAACGGCUCACCAAGGCUACGAUGUCUAGGGGUUCUGAGAGGAAGGUCCCCCACACUGGUACUGAGACACGGACCAGACUCCUACGGGAGGCAGCAGUGAGGAAUAUUGGUCAAUGGGCGCAAGCCUGAACCAGCCAUGUCGCGUGCAGGAAGACUUCGCCCUAUGGGUUGUAAACUGCUUUUAUAGUAGAAGAAACACAUCUACGUGUAGAUGUCUGCCAGUAUACUAUGAAUAAGCAUCGGCUAACUCCGUGCCAGCCGCUGC
rnacentral:rRNA from 1 species